AACAAGGCGUACCUGCGGACCUGCGGAGGGAUCAUUAAAAAGAGUGUGUACCCCUCUGUAAAAUGAGUGGGUUACCUCCCGUCCUUUGUUGACCUCUUAGGAGGUUAUUUUGAACUUUCUGCUUCGGUGGGGUUAAACCUACCGGAACACCCUCAAAUUCUUAUCAUUUGAAAAUUGUUCAGUCUGAUUUUUGUUAAUAAAAACAAAAAACUUUUAACAACGGAUCUCAGAUCGGAAGAG
rnacentral:misc_RNA from 1 species